GUGAUUGCCAUCUUGGCUUAAACUAUAUCCAUCUACACCUGUGAACCGUUUGAUUGAAUCUUCUGAUUCAAUUUUACAAACAUUGUGUAAUGAACGUCAUUAGAUCAUGACAUGAAA
rnacentral:misc_RNA from 1 species